GGGUUGUGAGGUUAAGCGACUAAGCGUACACGGUGGAUGCCCUGGCAGUCAGAGGCGAUGAAGGACGUGCUAAUCUGCGAUAAGCGUCGGUAAGGUGAUAUGAACCGUUAUAACCGGCGAUUUCCGAAUGGGGAAACCCAGUGUGAUUCGUCACACUAUCAUUAACUGAAUCCAUAGGUUAAUGAGGCGAACCGGGGGAACUGAAACAUCUAAGUACCCCGAGGAAAAGAAAUCAACCGAGAUUCCCCCAGUAGCGGCGAGCGAACGGGGAGCAGCCCAGAGCCUGAAUCAGUGUGUGUGUUAGUGGAAGCGUCUGGAAAGGCGUGCGAUACAGGGUGACAGCCCCGUACACAAAAAUGCACAUACUGUGAGCUCGAUGAGUAGGGCGGGACACGUGGUAUCCUGUCUGAAUAUGGGGGGACCAUCCUCCAAGGCUAAAUACUCCUGACUGACCGAUAGUGAACCAGUACCGUGAGGGAAAGGCGAAAAGAACCCCGGCGAGGGGAGUGAAAAAGAACCUGAAACCGUGUACGUACAAGCAGUGGGAGCACAGAGCAAUCUGUGUGACUGCGUACCUUUUGUAUAAUGGGUCAGCGACUUAUAUUCUGUAGCAAGGUUAACCGAAUAGGGGAGCCGAAGGGAAACCGAGUCUUAACUGGGCGUUAAGUUGCAGGGUAUAGACCCGAAACCCGGUGAUCUAGCCAUGGGCAGGUUGAAGGUUGGGUAACACUAACUGGAGGACCGAACCGACUAAUGUUGAAAAAUUAGCGGAUGACUUGUGGCUGGGGGUGAAAGGCCAAUCAAACCGGGAGAUAGCUGGUUCUCCCCGAAAGCUAUUUAGGUAGCGCCUCGUGAAUUCAUCUCCGGGGGUAGAGCACUGUUUCGGCAAGGGGGUCAUCCCGACUUACCAACCCGAUGCAAACUGCGAAUACCGGAGAAUGUUAUCACGGGAGACACACGGCGGGUGCUAACGUCCGUCGUGAAGAGGGAAACAACCCAGACCGCCAGCUAAGGUCCCAAAGUCAUGGUUAAGUGGGAAACGAUGUGGGAAGGCCCAGACAGCCAGGAUGUUGGCUUAGAAGCAGCCAUCAUUUAAAGAAAGCGUAAUAGCUCACUGGUCGAGUCGGCCUGCGCGGAAGAUGUAACGGGGCUAAACCAUGCACCGAAGCUGCGGCAGCGACGCUUAUGCGUUGUUGGGUAGGGGAGCGUUCUGUAAGCCUGCGAAGGUGUGCUGUGAGGCAUGCUGGAGGUAUCAGAAGUGCGAAUGCUGACAUAAGUAACGAUAAAGCGGGUGAAAAGCCCGCUCGCCGGAAGACCAAGGGUUCCUGUCCAACGUUAAUCGGGGCAGGGUGAGUCGACCCCUAAGGCGAGGCCGAAAGGCGUAGUCGAUGGGAAACAGGUUAAUAUUCCUGUACUUGGUGUUACUGCGAAGGGGGGACGGAGAAGGCUAUGUUGGCCGGGCGACGGUUGUCCCGGUUUAAGCGUGUAGGCUGGUUUUCCAGGCAAAUCCGGAAAAUCAAGGCUGAGGCGUGAUGACGAGGCACUACGGUGCUGAAGCAACAAAUGCCCUGCUUCCAGGAAAAGCCUCUAAGCAUCAGGUAACAUCAAAUCGUACCCCAAACCGACACAGGUGGUCAGGUAGAGAAUACCAAGGCGCUUGAGAGAACUCGGGUGAAGGAACUAGGCAAAAUGGUGCCGUAACUUCGGGAGAAGGCACGCUGAUAUGUAGGUGAAGUCCCUCGCGGAUGGAGCUGAAAUCAGUCGAAGAUACCAGCUGGCUGCAACUGUUUAUUAAAAACACAGCACUGUGCAAACACGAAAGUGGACGUAUACGGUGUGACGCCUGCCCGGUGCCGGAAGGUUAAUUGAUGGGGUCAGCGCAAGCGAAGCUCUUGAUCGAAGCCCCGGUAAACGGCGGCCGUAACUAUAACGGUCCUAAGGUAGCGAAAUUCCUUGUCGGGUAAGUUCCGACCUGCACGAAUGGCGUAAUGAUGGCCAGGCUGUCUCCACCCGAGACUCAGUGAAAUUGAACUCGCUGUGAAGAUGCAGUGUACCCGCGGCAAGACGGAAAGACCCCGUGAACCUUUACUAUAGCUUGACACUGAACAUUGAGCCUUGAUGUGUAGGAUAGGUGGGAGGCUUUGAAGUGUGGACGCCAGUCUGCAUGGAGCCGACCUUGAAAUACCACCCUUUAAUGUUUGAUGUUCUAACGUUGACCCGUGAUCCGGGUUGCGGACAGUGUCUGGUGGGUAGUUUGACUGGGGCGGUCUCCUCCUAAAGAGUAACGGAGGAGCACGAAGGUUGGCUAAUCCUGGUCGGACAUCAGGAGGUUAGUGCAAUGGCAUAAGCCAGCUUGACUGCGAGCGUGACGGCGCGAGCAGGUGCGAAAGCAGGUCAUAGUGAUCCGGUGGUUCUGAAUGGAAGGGCCAUCGCUCAACGGAUAAAAGGUACUCCGGGGAUAACAGGCUGAUACCGCCCAAGAGUUCAUAUCGACGGCGGUGUUUGGCACCUCGAUGUCGGCUCAUCACAUCCUGGGGCUGAAGUAGGUCCCAAGGGUAUGGCUGUUCGCCAUUUAAAGUGGUACGCGAGCUGGGUUUAGAACGUCGUGAGACAGUUCGGUCCCUAUCUGCCGUGGGCGCUGGAGAACUGAGGGGGGCUGCUCCUAGUACGAGAGGACCGGAGUGGACGCAUCACUGGUGUUCGGGUUGUCAUGCCAAUGGCACUGCCCGGUAGCUAAAUGCGGAAGAGAUAAGUGCUGAAAGCAUCUAAGCACGAAACUUGCCCCGAGAUGAGUUCUCCCUGACUCCUUGAGAGUCCUGAAGGAACGUUGAAGACGACGACGUUGAUAGGCCGGGUGUGUAAGCGCAGCGAUGCGUUGAGCUAACCGGUACUAAUGAACCGUGAGGCUUAACCUUACAACGCCGAAGGUGUUU
rnacentral:rRNA from 1 species